rnacentral:rRNA from 1 species
UYRGGGKAACMCWUCCUUUGUGUACMUGCAGUCGACGGCAGCACAGGAGAGCUUGCUCUCUGGGUGGCGAGUGGCGGACGGGUGAGGAAUACAUCGGAAUCUACUCUGUCGUGGGGGAUAACGUAGGGAAACUUACGCUAAUACCGCAUACGACCUACGGGUGAAAGCAGGGGAUCUUCGGACCUUGCGCGAUUGAAUGAGCCGAUGUCGGAUUAGCUAGUUGGCGGGGUAAAGGCCCACCAAGGCGACGAUCCGUAGCUGGUCUGAGAGGAUGAUCAGCCACACUGGAACUGAGACACGGUCCAGACUCCUACGGGAGGCAGCAGUGGGGAAUAUUGGACAAUGGGCGCAAGCCUGAUCCAGCCAUACCGCGUGGGUGAAGAAGGCCUUCGGGUUGUAAAGCCCUUUUGUUGGGAAAGAAAUCCAGCUGGCUAAUACCCGGUUGGGAUGGCGGUACCCAAAGAAUAAGCACCGGCUAACUUCGUGCCAGCAGCCGCGGUAAUACGAAGGGUGCAAGCGUUACUCGGAAUUACUGGGCGUAAAGCGUGCGUAGGUGGUUAUUUAAGUCCGUUGUGAAAGCCCUGGGCUCAACCUGGGAACUGCAGUGGAUACUGGAUGACUAGAAUGUGGUAGAGGGUAGCGGAAUUCCUGGUGUAGCAGUGAAAUGCGUAGAGAUCAGGAGGAACAUCCAUGGCGAAAGCAGCUACCUGGACCAACAUUGGACACUGAGCACGAAAGCGUUGGGGAGCAAAACCAAGGAAUUAGGAW